rnacentral:rRNA from 1 species
CGGACGUGAGGAACCUGCCUUUCAGAGGGGGACAACAGUUGGAAACGACUGCUAAUACCGCAUGACACAUAGAGAUCGCAUGGUUUUUAUGUCAAAGAUUUAUCGCUGAAAGAUGGCCUCGCGUCUGAUUAGCUAGUUGGUGAGGUAACGGCCCACCAAGGCGACGAUCAGUAGCCGGACUGAGAGGUUGACCGGCCACAUUGGGACUGAGACACGGCCCAG